rnacentral:rRNA from 1 species
UACGUAGGGUGCGAGCGUUGUCCGGAAUUAUUGGGCGUAAAGAGCUCGUAGGCGGUUUGUUGCGUCUAUCGUGAAAACCUGCAGCUUAACUGUGGGCUUGCGGUGGAUACGGGCAGACUAGAGUGCGGUAGGGGUGACUGGAAUUCCUGGUGUAGCGGUGGAAUGCGCAGAUAUCAGGAGGAACACCGAUGGCGAAGGCAGGUCACUGGGCCGCAACUGACGCUGAGGAGCGAAAGCAUGGGGAGCGAACAGG